rnacentral:rRNA from 1 species
CACGUAGGGGCCAAGCGUUGUCCGGAUUUAUUGGGCGUAAAGAGCUCGUAGGCGGUUGGGUAAGUCGGGUGUGAAAACUCCCGGGCUCAACUCGGAGACGCCACCCGAUACUGCUCUGACUUGAGUCCGGUAGGGGAGUGGGGAAGUUCCUGGUGUAGCGGUGAAAUGCGCAGAUAUCAGGAGGAACACCGGUGGCGAAGGCGCCACUCUGGGCCGGAACUGACGCUGAGGAGCGAAAGCGUGGGUAGCAAACAGG